rnacentral:rRNA from 1 species
AUUAAACGCUGGCGGCAUGCCUUACACAUGCAAGUCGAACGGCAGCACGGGGGCAACCCUGGUGGCGAGUGGCGGACGGGUGAGUAAAGCAUCGGAACGUAUCCUGGAGUGGGGGAUAACGUAGCGAAAGUUACGCUAAUACCGCAUAUUCUGUGAGCAGGAAAGCAGGGGAUCGCAAGACCUUGCGCUCUGGGAGCGGCCGAUGUCGGAUUAGCUAGUUGGUGGGGUAAAGGCCUACCAAGGCGACGAUCCGUAGCGGGUCUGAGAGGAUGAUCCGCCACACUGGGACUGAGACACGGCCCAGACUCUACGGGAGGCAGCAGUGGGGAAUUUUGGACAAUGGCGAAGCCUGAUCCAGCCAUGCCGCGUGAGUGAAGAAGGCCUCGGUUGUAAAG